GGGUCGGUUCCAGAGUGGUCAAAUGGGGAGGACUGUAAAUCCUUUGGCUUCGCCUUCGUAGGUUCGAUCCCUACCCGGCCCACCA
rnacentral:tRNA from 5 species